AUACGGAGGGUGCGAGCGUUAAUCGGAAUUACUGGGCGUAAAGCGUGCGCAGGUGGUUUUGUAAGUCAGAUGUGAAAUCCCCGGGCUUAACCUGGGAACUGCGUUUGAAACUGCAAGGCUAGAGUGUGGCAGAGGGGGGUGGAAUUCCGCGUGUAGCAGUGAAAUGCGUGGAUAUGUGGAGGAACACCGAUGGCGAAGGCAGCCCCCUGGGUCAGCACUGACGCUCAGGCACGAAAGCAUGGGGAGCAAACAGGAUUAGAAACCCCAGUAGUCC
rnacentral:rRNA from 1 species